AGUGAACGCUGGCGGUAGGCCUAACACAUGCAAGUCGAACGGCAGCACAGUAAGAGCUUGCUCUUACGGGUGGCGAGUGGCGGACGGGUGAGGAAUACAUCGGAAUCUACUUUUUCGUGGGGGAUAACGUAGGGAAACUUACGCUAAUACCGCAUACGACCUACGGGUGAAAGCAGGGGAUCUUCGGACCUUGCACGAUUGAAUGAGCCGAUGUCGGAUUAGCUAGUUGGCGGGGUAAAGGCCCACCAAGGCGACGAUCCGUAGCUGGUCUGAGAGGAUGAUCAGCCACACUGGAACUGAGACACGGUCCAGACUCCUACGGGAGGCAGCAGUGGGGAAUAUUGGACAAUGGGCGCAAGCCUGAUCCAGCCGUACCGCGUGGGUGAAGAAGGCCUUCGGGUUGUAAAGCCCUUUUGUUGGGAAAGAAAAGCAGCAGGUUAAUACCCCGCUGUUCUGACGGUACCCAAAGAAUAAGCACCGGCUAACUUCGUG
rnacentral:rRNA from 1 species